CUCUCCCCGCCCGGAUUAGUGGCAGCUUGGCCUGACUCUCCGGGGCUCCUUCCCCCGCCCCCGCCUGCUGCCCUCCCCUGGGCAGGGGGCUGCUCCACCCGAGGGGCACUGUGCUUGCCCAGGAGCCACUCCCAUGGGCUCCUCUCCAGUGCUCGGCCUGGAAGCAUUAGGAGCAGGGACGCGGCAGACCCCCUGAGUGUGAGGCUGGAGCAGGCGGUGGCGUGGGACCCACCUCCGCCCAGACACUUGGGUGCUGGAGGAGGAAACCGGCGGAGCAGCUUCCUCACUCUCAGUUGCGCGUCUGGCGAUGGCGAUCAGAGGUCCUGCUGCGCUCCCCGCUGCGCUCUCCCUCCAUUAGCCGCGCUGCCCCGCUUUGCGCCCUCGCUGGUGCUCUCGUCUGGGUUCCAGGAUCGG